GGUACAAGUCCCCAUGAGAGGGGCAUGUUACCCAGAGACGGUGYUAGGCCCGUGCCGCCGUCGGUCCGCGUGCGGAGUUGCCGUUUUCCCGGGAGUCGGGUUGCUUGGGAGUGCAGCCCAAAGUGGGUGGUAAACUCCACCUAAAGCUAAAUAUGACCGAGAGACCGAUAGCGAACAAGUACCGUGAGGGAAAGUUGAAAAGCACUUUGAAGAGAGAGUUCAAGAGUACGUGAAACCGUUCGGAGGUAAACGGGUGGGACCUCGAAGUCCAAAGACGGUGGUGGAUUCAGUCCGGGCGGGAGCGGCCCUUUCCCAGAGCAGGUUGCCCCACGACCGGGGACCUCUUUGGGGGUUUUAGGGCCACGUCCGGGCGCACUUCCACACCCCGUCCCUUAGGACGUCGCGACCGGUUGGGAGGUCGUCGUAAGGCCUCGGCCAAAAGGUGGCCGCACCUCUUCUUUYGGGAGGAGGGCGGUGUUAGAGGUGGCUGUGYGCUUGGGAGACUGCCCGACCGGGGUAAUUUCAUCGUUUCCCCCCCCUGAGGGGAGCGGCCCUAGGCUCGCAUAUUUUUCUCGUCUUGCGUGCCGCCAGCGAUGGCGAACGCGACCGGGUGGAUUUGCGGUGCCGGUGGGAUCGCGGGAAGCGGAGGGUCGCGGCGAGUAGGUCGGUUCCCCACCCGACCCGUCUUGAAACACGGACCAAGGAGUCUAACGCGUGUGCAAGUUCCCGGGACUUGAUCAGGCCCGCGGGCGCAAUGAAGGUGAAGGGCGGCUCGGUCGCCUGGGUUGGGAUCCCGUCUUACCUUAAGGCGGGCGCACCAACGGCCCGUCCAAAACCGUUCUCGGUUGGGCGGAGCAAGAGCAUACGCUCUGGGACCCGAAAGAUGGUGAACUAUGCCUGGGCAGGACGAAGCCAGAGGAAACUCUGGUGGAGGUCCGCAGCGAUUCUGACGUGCAAAUCGAUCGUCAGACCUG
rnacentral:rRNA from 1 species